GCCAGGGUAGCUUAACCCUAUUUAAAGCGUCGGUCUUGUAAACCGAAUAUGUAUGUUUACCCCUGCCA
rnacentral:tRNA from 1 species